UGCAAGUCGAACGAAGCACUGUAAACGGAGAUUCGUCGAAGUUUACUUUGACUUAGUGGCGGACGGGUGAGUAAUGUAUGAGCAACCUGCCUUUCAGUGGGGGACAACAGUUGGAAACGACUGCUAAUACCGCAUGAUGUCAAUUGGGGGCAUCCCCGAAUGACCAAAGGAUUUAUUCGCUGAAAGAUGGGCUCAUAUCUGAUUAGCUAGUUGGUGAGGUAACGGCUCACCAAGGCUGCGAUCAGUAGCCGGACUGAGAGGUUGAACGGCCACAUUGGGACUGAGAUACGGCCCAGACUCCUACGGGAGGCAGCAGUGGGGAAUAUUGGGCAAUGGGCGAAAGCCUGACCCAGCAACGCCGCGUGAAGGAAGAAGGUCUUCGGAUUGUAAACUUCUUUUAUGAGGGACGAAGGACGUGACGGUACCUCAUGAAUAAGCCACGGCUAACUACGUGCCAGCAGCCGCGGUAAUACGUAGGUGGCAAGCGUUAUCCGGAUUUACUGGGUGUAAAGGGCGCGUAGGCGGGAAUGCAAGUCAGAUGUGAAAUCUAUGGGCUUAACCCAUAAACUGCAUUUGAAACUGUAUCUCUUGAGUGCUGGAGAGGUAGACGGAAUUCCUUGUGUAGCGGUGAAAUGCGUAGAUAUAAGGAAGAACACCAGUGGCGAAGGCGGUCUACCGGACAGUAACUGACGCUGAGGCGCGAGAGCGUGGGGAGCAAACAGGAUUAGAUACCCUGG
rnacentral:rRNA from 1 species